AUUGAACGCUGGCGGCAUGCCUUACACAUGCAAGUCGAACGGCAGCACGGGGGCAACCCUGGUGGCGAGUGGCGAACGGGUGAGUAAUGCAUCGGAACGUGCCCAGUAGUGGGGGAUAACUAGUCGAAAGAUUAGCUAAUACCGCAUACGACCUAUGGGUGAAAGCGGGGGAUGCAGCACUUAAUGUUUUGGGAUGGCUACUUGUGGCCGCCUCGGGACAGUCUCAGGUUGAGAACAUUAAGUGCUGCACCUCGCGCUAUCGGAGCGGCCGAUGUCUGAUUAGCUAGUUGGCGGGUAAAGCCCACCAAGGCGACGAUCAGUAGCUGGUCUGAGAGGACGACCAGCCACACU
rnacentral:rRNA from 1 species